GCCCAAGAGAUCGGGAUAACACCUGGAAACAGAUGCUAAUACCGGAUAAUAACAGAUGAUGCCUAUCAACUGUUUAAAAGAUGGUUCUGCUAUCACUCUUGGAUGGACCUGCGGUGCAUUAGCUAGUUGGUAGGGUAACGGCCUACCAAGGCGAUGAUGCAUAGCCGAGUUGAGAGACUGAUCGGCCACAUUGGGACUGAGACACGGCCCAAACUCCUACGGGAGGCAGCAGGU
rnacentral:rRNA from 1 species